UACGUAGGGGGCAAGCGUUGUCCGGAUUUAUGGGGCGUAAAGAGCGUGUAGGCGGUCUGGUAGGUCCGUUGUGAAAACUCGAGGCUCAACCUCGAGACGCCGAUGGAAACCAUCAGACUAGAGUCCGGAAGAGGAGAGUGGAAUUCCUGGUGUAGCGGUGAAAUGCGCAGAUAUCAGGAAGAACACCCGUGGCUAAGGCGGCUCUCUAGUACGGUACUGACGCUGAGACGCGAAAGCGUGGGGAGCGAACAGG
rnacentral:rRNA from 1 species